rnacentral:lncRNA from 1 species
GAUAUAUUGGCCGUCUUUAAUUCAUGCAAUCAUUCCGUGAGUCAUUCAGCCAUUCACUGAGCAACUAUGAUGUGUAAGUGAAUAUCUUUACAAUUAAUGUACUAAAAAUCAAAAAGAAGAAUAGCUAAUAAGACUAACCAUGUUGAAAUAUGGUUAAUUACCUUAAAGGAAAUAUAGUUGACCUUGAAUAAUGCAAAGCAUUAGGAGUGCCAACCCUCUGCACAGUUGAAAAUACAACUAACCAGACUUCACAUGAAAGUGGGAAAUGUUUAAUAUAGUUUUGAGAAGUGAAGAUUGAAAAAUAAUACAACAAUAAUGAGAUGAAGCUGUACAACAUCUGCGUUGAGCCAUUUGACCCAAGCAGUGAAUCAAAGAUUUCAAGUAAUGUGUAUUUUUUAUUAUUUUUCUCUUCUUGGGGUAACUAUAACACAAUAAAAAAGAAUUCAUAAAAAAUUCUAACGUAUUAGUCCAUUAUGCUGCUAUAUACAACUGUUGAGGACUGGGUAAUUUAUAAAGAAAGAGAUUUAAUUGACUCACAGCUUUACAUGGCUGGGGAGGCCUCAGGAAACUUACAAUCAUGGAGAAGACACCUCUUCCCAGCUUGGCAGGAGAGAGAAUGAGUGCGGAACAAAGAGGGAAGCCUCUUGUAGAGCCAUCAGAUCUCUUGAGAACUCACUCACUAUCAUGCGAACAGCAUGGGGGAAACCACCCCCAUGAUUCAAUUAUCUCCACCUGGUCCCACCCUUGACCUGCGGGGAUUAUUACAAUUCAAGAGAAGAUUUUGGGUGAGGACACGGAGUCAAACCAUAUCACCUAUGAUUUUUUUUUUUUUUUUUUUUUUUUUUUGCUAUUUUAGGUUUUACUUUUAUUUCCUUCUACGUAAAAGUUUCACACCUUUUAACUCGGCACAUUCUCAACUUCUCCCAUGUUAGUAUCUAACAUGGGGCAGUCCUUGCUUAACAUGUUUCUCUCUAUUCCGGACUUAUAUGCCUAUUCCAUUUCUCUGACUUUCAGCAUUUUGAUUUUUAGCCAAUGUCACCUACUCUUAAAAUGAGUUAAUUACCAUACAGUUUGAUUAUUGUCCCAUUGUUCUGUUGGCUAUUGGGCAGAUCUGUCAUUAAUCUAUAUAACCAUUUGGAAACAUACUCUCUUAAAUGUUUUUGAAGAUAAUUAUAUUUUCAGCUUCACUCUAUGGAGAGAUGAUACAAGCACACACACAUGCACACAGGACUCCAAAUUUUCUUAUCUUUAUUAAUGUUAUUUCCAACCAGCACUUCUAAAUCUUGAUGUAACUUCUAACACUUCUUUAUUUGUCUUUCCCUUCAAUUUGAGCCACCAAAAUUCCUUUUAUUCCCAUUUCUAUGCCUACUCAGGAUUUUAUGAACUGACUACUAGAUUUGCUCAAUGGGCUCCUGCCAUUUCAACAUUUGAAGAUCUGCCUUUAUAAUCAAUCAAAACCAUCCACCUCAGAAUCACUUUUAGAAAUACAACGUUGAUCAUGUCUCUCACUUUUUAAAACCCUUCAGUUUGUGACCCUGCUUAUGAUCCAAGGCCCAACCUUCUUUUUCAGACAUUGAUAGUUUUCUAAAGUCUAGCCUGAAGGACCCUUUCUAUUCUUAUUUUUCAUAUAUUUGAAGAGACAUCUUACUCCCCUCAAAACAGAUAACUCAUGGUUUUCUGGGUAUAUCUUCACAUUCUUAUUAUUGUGUAUCUGUUUAUAUUUUCCCCUAGAAUUCAUUUUCACUUCUCUUGACUCUUUUUUUUCAGUGGUCAUAUAUAUCAAAUUUUCAACAAGAAGUUCUGCUUAAUCACUCUAUGGAGUGCUCAUUCAUGUGAAAGAGGAAGUUAUAAAGUAAUAAAGUCACAGUUAAAUGAAUGCUGUAUUUGGGGAUUUGAUACAGGAAAACUAGAAUGCCAUGAACUAAGUUUUCCCUGCUACGUGGGUCUUUCCUCAACUAGAUUAUAAUUCCUAAAGGUCACAGAUCAUAUAUGUCCUUCUUCCACUUCUUCAUUUCUAUUAUUCCUUAUAAAUCUUUCAAAUAAAAUUUGCUCAGUAUAUUGUACUACUACUUGAUCACCUAAGUAUGAAGGCAUAUUCUAUAAAUGCAAGGCUCUGGGCAGAAAUUUCUUCAAUUUGUCCUGACUCAAGAAAGCCUUAAAACGAUACAUAAAGUUUCCCAUUUUCUAGUUUUAUUUCAUAAUUAGUUAAUUGUACAAAUGAUUAUUGAGAGAUUUAGAGUGUUAGGUACUCUUUGAAGUUGCAAAAAAAUGGCAGUGGAGAGAAAAAAGUUCCUGCUCUCAGUAGAUAUGUACUUUCCGUAACAUUUGCUAAUUUUACAAUUCCAUUUGUUGAUUAACAUGUGUCUUUACUCUCUCAAAUUCUCCAUCUUGUAUUCUAUACAUUUACAUAAGUUAUAUAUCUCCAGUACAAAUAUUAUCUCCCUUUUCCCUCCCCACUGGAGAGGCACCACUAAUCACAGAUUUUCAUGCAGUAGACAGUAUCAAUAAAUACUGUGUUUGUGAGCAUCAGGCAUGAAAUGCAUACAUAAAAAUAUCAUCAUGGAUAUAACUAUUUAUAAGUUAAUCUGGUGUCCAGAUAGUUGUUAUACUCUAUAAAAACAAACCAUUUUACUUGAAAGGAAUUUUUUUUCUCUAUUAGAUUCAUUUAAAGAAAGAAAGUCUUGUUCAAAGUUUUCAAGUUCUCAGAGUUCCUGUUGAUCAAACACUUCCUAAGCUCAAGAAGCAUCUUUAGAAUGACUUACCAUUUAAAUUGUAGAGGUAUACUUCCAGAAACAGUUUGUGUUUUCUAAAAUCAGUUUAACUCGUGUUAAAAUUUUUUGCACACAUGCUGAAAUGGUAAAAAAAUAGAAAGUGUCAUGUAUUUCCAUUAGUCUAUCAAUUGUCUCUUUGAUAUUACCUGUGAAAAAUACAACAAUAUACUCAGCCCAUGUGUCAGUAAAUCUCAGCAUGUCAGGAUAAGUAAUUCUCAACAUUAAUAUCAACUUGCUUUCAGGAGGAUAAUAAUGUUUAGGUCAUUUUGACCUUGACGUCAUUCCUGACUGCUUUUUUUCUCUCACACUGCUAACCAAUUCAUUACCAAAUCCUUUCAGCAUUACUUUUCAAAUGGAUGCAGAAUCCAAACAUUCUCAAAAUCUCCACUACUCCAAAUCCAAUUACAGCCACAAUAAUUCCUAACCUUGUCUUAAAAAGACAGUCUAACAUGUGUCCUGCCUCUACGCUUGCAGGUUUUCUUCUUUCCAUAAACCACAAUGAUUCUUUAAAAAUAUGAAUCAAUUAUGUUAUCCCACCGUUUGAAGCCCUGCAUGGCUUCCCACAGCAUGCAGAAUAAAAUCCCAAGGUUCAUGAAGGCUUCUAUGCUAUUCUCGGUCCCUUACUACCUCUCUGAUAUCAUCUGUGAUUACUCCCCUUCUUUCUUCAACCAUACUGGUCUCAUUAUAGAUCCAAGGCUCCAAGCAUGCCUUGGCCUGCCUUAAAGCAUUUAUGCAUGUUCUUCCCAUGAACUAAAACACUCUACUCCCAGAAAGUCAUGUAGUUGGUUCCUUUGUUUCCUUCUGUUUGUAUUUAGAUGGGACAUUUUCAGAACAAGUAUUCCUGGAUCAAGUUAUCUAUACUGUCCAUACUUUCUUCCACAUUUUUUUCACCAUUUCUUCAAGUAUCAUCACUUGCCUUAUAUUUUCUCAUUUAGAUUGGUGAUUAAUUAUUUACUGUUCUUUUUUCCUGCUGCUGCCUACCAUAGAACUUCUGUGAAGAAAGAAAUAUUGUUUUGCCCACAUUUAUAAAGUCAAAAUCUAUAGAAAAAUGCUUGGAAAAUGCUUAUGAUUCAUGAAUAUUCUUUGAAUGAUUAAAGAUUCUUGUUAUUGAACAGUCUGAGAAUCUUUAUAUAAAGGGGUUCUAAUUUGAAUGCUUUGUGUAAUUUAAAGUAAAAAUAGAAUGUUUACAUGAAAUAUUUAAAUUAAAUAGAUAUUUUUACACUCCACAUAUCAACCACUGAAUAAAUGUUUUUAAGUUUGUGUGAAUGAACAAAAAUGAAAUAUGUGAAAUAUGUAUCACUACAGCCUAAUCUUCAAUGAAAUCAAUCAAUUUUUAGAUUUUUUGAGCUAUGUCAUGAAAUAGAAGAUAACAUUAUCUAAAAAAGAUUCCAGAGUUUAAAGGGAAAAUUUUUUUGGUCAAGCCUAGGUGUUUUUCAUACUUUAUAAAGGCAAAGUAAUUUAUUAAAAUAGAUUUCUAUGUUUGUAUUUUAUAUUCUUUAUAUUUUCAGUUCUGUAGCUUAAGCACUUGAAUAUAAACAGUUUUAUACUGUCACAUAAUGUAAAACCCUUUGCAUUGUUGUGAUUAUCUACAGUUAAAGACAAUGAAGUCAUCUAAUACUCUCAUUAUGAUCAUCUCUAUCUUAAAGAUGGGUCACUAUAUUUCAAAACUUUAGAGUUGACAAAAUUUAGAAAGAAAAUAGGUAAAAUAUAUUUCUGUAUUGCAAAAAUGUGCUUGCAUGUGUGUUUGUGGAGAGAGAGUGAGAGAGCAAGAGAGAUUUGUUUUACUACUCAUACAAAAGCAAAGUUACAACAUAGUAUCUUAGGAAGAGUUUUAUUGUUAUCUUAUUAUAAUCCAGUUGAGCUCUAUAGAAAUUCUCAGAAUGUAUAACAUGAAAACCAAUAUUAUUUGUGAUUUCUACUGCUUCAACAUUUACUGUCAAGAUCCUUGACAGAAGAUCUAUUUUCUAUACUUACUGUUUCAACACUCUUUCUCCCUUUUUCAGUGUUGUGUUCUUUUCUGAGAGGAACUUACUAUUUCAUCUUGUGAUAUGUUGAGGCUUGCUAGAAAUUCAAGUCCAAUUCACUAGGACUAAAUAUAGAAAACAUCAUAUUUCCCAGCCAAGUAUAUAGUCAUAUCUUGUAAAGAGAAAUAUUACAAUGUCCUUCUUUGAUAUAAAAUAUCGUAAAGAUUUUCAAUUCUUUAAAUAGAAUGGUGACAUUUAAAUACAGUAUGUACACAGUAAAUAUGUCAAAUGAAGUGGAAAUAUACUAUUUCUCAUAGUACUUCAAGUUCUUAAAUUUUAGGAAUGGUUACUGUAUUAAUACUGAACUGGGAAAAAUCAUUGUAUCUGCAUAAUUUUUGAUACUAAUUGUUAAUUUAUUAAGAACAUAUGCUUGUGAGUGAUGUCACUUUUCCUAGAAUUUGACUAUUAUAAACAAAAUAAAAUGGAGAUUGAGGGUUUUUUCUGUAUUGCUGGGAAUUAUGGGAAAAUAAUUUAAAGGUAAUGUCUUUACAUUUUUAUGACAUAUAAAGAAUAAAACAAC